UACUGACGCAGAUAUGCUACUAUUUGUUAAAAACUUACUAUUUUGAGCAGUUUUGAUAAUCUUACUAAUUGUUAGAGAUUGUAGGAUGCAAGAUAAUUUCAGAUACACUUCUGCAACAUUUUCUCUGGAAUUUUCUACUUUCAUUUGAGCCACAUGGGAAAGGCAAAAAAAUUGUUCAACUAAGUAGAAAGCAGCGGAAAGGCAAAGUGAAUGCAGAUAGGCUGUCAAACAGGGUUAGGACAUGGCUUGCUAUUGACGAAGAUGACUUCACAAUAUCAGUUACCAUGUUAGAUAUACUUUGUUGUGACAGUGAAGUUCUACUUGACCCAUUGGAUGGCUAGAUUCCAUGAAUAGAAUGGAAAUGAGGCAGAAGAAUGAAAGAGAAAAGAACUUGGAAAAGUAUUUAUCAGGAGAAAGAUGGAUUCACGUCAGGAGAGCCUUGACUGUGUAGCAGUUUGGUCAAUUAAAGCACAUCAAAUGCCAUUUAGUCAGAUGAAACUGAUCAUUGAGAUAUGAAGAUGUUUCAAUUGCAGAUGGAUGCUGAGCCUCAGUUAUUCCAAUAAAAGAAGUAAGGCUUCCAACAUGCUCAUUUAGUCCUUCAUUUGCUCUCUUUCCUAUUGAGUAUUUCCGAAAUCCUUACUUCAAAAAAUUAUAAGUUUUCUGUAUCCUUUUUCGCACUGGCUAGCAAAGGGAAUGCAGAAAGUCCAGCAAAAUAAGGUGUGGUAUUCAUGCCUCCCUUUUAUCAACUUUUAUUUACUUAAAACUAUGUGCAUAAAUGUAUUUUCUUUAAGCAUUUUAAGUUUGUAUUAUCUACCUUAAGCAAGACUUGGCAAUAUUUCCUAUAAUGAUGAGACAGAUAAUGGGAAUGGUGAUGACGCAGAAAAGAAUAAGUUACUGCACUAGGAAAGGAAAAGAAAAGAAAAGGUGAGCUGCAUUUAUUUGUGGUCAGUAUUGAAAGUGGAUAUAAUUUCUAGAUUCUCUACAUUGUCUUGCGCAGCAGAAGGCAGAAGAUCAUGCUAACUCUACUGCAGAAGUUGUAGAACUGUUUGUGAAUCUUGAGGCUUGUAAAUUUGUGUAAAUCUUCAUAUGAUAUAUAUGCCGCAGGGAAAGGUCUCAUUUUGGAAGGUUUCAAUCAAUUGCAAAUUCUUUGUGUAGCUCAUGCACACUUCAAGAUACUGUAGACUGGUAUACUUAUUAACUAGCCGAAUUGUUUUUACUCUCAUUUAAACAAUCUUACUUGGAAAAUCAGUUCAUGUUUAUUGUUGCAGCAUUAAAUUUGCUGGCUCCAUUCCCACUUCCUUUUUUUCAGUGAUUUCCUUCACAAGGCAGCUGUGGAACUUCAGGAAGAGAAAAUGUUGGAAGAUGAUCCUCCACAUGAUCAAUUCAGAUAAUCUUACUAUUUAUUAGAGACUGCAAGAUGCAAGAUAAUAUUAGAUGCACAGCUGCAUUGUUUUCUCUGCAAAAUUAUUCAAUUGAGUAGAAAGCAUGUCUUUGGAGCUAUCAACUUUGCCCCAAGUGAAAGACCAAAAAAAAAAAAAAAAAAAGCGUUGGAGGUCGAUAUCAUGCCCUUUUACUAGCUCCUUACGGGAUUAUGACUGCUAAAUUUUGAGUUCAAACCGUAAACCUAAGCAGAAAUAGAGAUAUGUUUACGUCACCCAAUUGAGCUUUAAGCCUCGAGUUCUCAUCACGUUGCCAACAUCACCGGAACAGUUCCCCUUCUCUCUCUUUUUUUUUUUUUUUUUUUUUUUUUAAUUUUAAAGAAACAGUAAAAUGAUUUUACUUUUGGUUUUUGAAAAUCUAAAAACGCGUGUCUUGAUUUUCUUUUUCUCAAUCAUUCGUUAUUUUCGAUAGUUAAAUCAACCAUAAAAUUUUACCUAUUUUUUCACAAUCAAUACAUACUACCAAUAACUGAGGCCAAUUAUUAACAUUACCCUUUUACAACUCAUCAAAUUAUCACCCAUUUGUACUACCGAUAAACUUCAGAUCAAAUUGAUUGUAAACUUCACAAACUACCUGAU